rnacentral:rRNA from 1 species
CCUACGGGAGGCAGCAGUCGGGAAUUUUGGGCAAUGGGCGAAAGCCUGACCCAGCAACGCCGCGUGAAGGAUGAAAUCCCUCGUGGAUGUAAACUUCGCAAGAACAGGAAGCAAUAAGUAAGAGUUAAUAUCUCUUACGAUGACGGUACUGUUUGUAAGCUCCGGCUAACUCCGUGCCAGCAGCCGCGGUAAU